rnacentral:rRNA from 1 species
GACGAACGCUGGCGGCGUGCCUAAUACAUGCAAGUAGAACGCAGUUGCGAACGGGUGAGUAACGCGUAGGUAACUGCCUGGUAGCGGGGGAUAACUAUUGGAAACGAUAGCUAAUACCGCAUACUACCAGAUGGACCUGCGUUGAAUUAGCUAGUUGGUGAGGUAACGUCUCACCAAGGCAACGAUACAUAGCCGACCAGGGAGGGUGAUCGGCCACACUGUGACUGAGACACGGCCCAGACUCCUACGGGAGGCAGCAGUAGGGAAUCUUCGGCAAUGGGGUGAAACCUGACCGAGCAUCGCCACGUGGUUGAAGAAGGUUUUCGGAUCGUAAAGCUCUGUUGUUAAGGAAGCUGUUCUUAUCCAGAACGGGACGGCUAACUACGUGCCAGCAGCCGCGGUAAUC